rnacentral:rRNA from 1 species
GUAAAAGUCGUAACAAGGUUUCCGUAGGUGAACCUGCGGAAGGAUCAUUAGAGAAAUUAUUGAGAGUUGAGCUGGCUUUUCACGAAGCAUGUGCUUGCUUUCUAAUUACUUUAUCCAUACACCUGUGCACCUUUGAGGUAGAGUGGAACUUGUUUCUGCCCUCCUCGUUUAUCACAAACUCUUAAUCAAACAUUGAACGUGAAUUAGUGCCUUACGGCCUUAAUCAUUAUACAACUUUUAACAACGGAUCUCUUGGCUCUCGCAUCGAUGAAGAACGCAGCGAAUUGCGAUAAGUAAUGUGAAUUGCAGAAUUCAGUGAAUCAUCGAAUCUUUGAACGCACCUUGCGCUCUCUGGUAUUCCGGAGAGCAUGCCUGUUCGAGUGUCGUAACCCUCUCAAUCCAACUGGUCUUUAUUGACUAUGCUGGAUUGGAUUUGGGCUCUGCCGUGUUACAGCGGCUAGCCUUAAAAGUAUUAGCUGAAUCUAGUCGUAGACUGGUUUGACUCGGCGUGAUAAUUAUCUGACCGCUGAGGACAUCGCAAGAUGGCCAGACAAGACAAUGAAUCGCUUCUAAUCGUCGUUCAAUGCGACAAUUUACCACACCUUUGACCUCGGAUCAGGUAGGACUACCCGCUGAACUUA